rnacentral:lncRNA from 1 species
ACACGUCCAACCAGCAGGGGGAAAUAGCUGGUUUUAAUCCAGCCACUUUAACGCUGAAGCUACAAAAUAUGUUGAUUAUCAUGGCAGUUAAGUGAGAGACUGCACAUGACUGGGUACAUGCAAAUCGUAAAAAUACCAUCCAUUGCUACAGUGAAACUCAAAUAAUGUAGAGAUAUCUGUUACUGCCAUAACUUCCUAACUUUAUUGUGAUCAUUCUGCAUUAGUUUGUUUUCUUUAUUAUAAAUCAUCACCUUUUACUAACGAGAAAGAGGAAUUCUUACAAUCUGGUAGUUAAAUGGGAGAGAAUGCUGUUGCUCAAUCACAAUGCAAUUUAAUUUGAAAAUUACAGUUUUAAAACUACAAACUAGAUUCUUUCCCUAAAUCUGUAUCAAAGGCUGUAUACAUUAUGAAGAGCAUCAUAUAUCCUAAGAUACUCAGUUUUUAA